GGAGAGGGUAGCAGGAAGCCUAGGGCUCCUUUCCAGAUAGUGCAUGGGGCUUUUCUUCAUUACUGAAAAUCAUUGUGCCCCACAGUCAGAUUGAAAGAGACAUGAGGCUCUGCCUCAGCAUACAACCCGACAAGCAGCGCUACUUCCACCAAGCAGCCUGUCAUCUCUUGUGUGCCUUGGAGACAAGCUGCCUCAAAAAUAAACUAGAGCAGCUAACAUACCCAGAGCUUGUUACAAAUGUGUUAAAAUCUAAUAGUGAGCACGUGCUUCAUGUUCCCAUGAGUCUAGUGUGUCAGGAAGUAGGAGGCAGAGGAAAGAAGGAGGCAACGCAGCGGAAAAGGAAAAGGCACAUGACAGCAGUAAGUGUUCUGGCCAAACAGCACUUGAUGCACUUUACUGUAAUGCAAAGAAAUGAUUGGUGCAAAGAGCUACAGCCCAAAGUUUGGUUGUGGCAAGGAAGCACAUUUGAGGAAACAGCAAGGCAAAUCCUGCACAUUCACAUGGAACAAUGAAAAAGAUCAACUUUAAAAUAGCAGAACCACAAAGUUGUGACAAGGAAGCACAAAGUACAAAGUACAGAGGUAAACGCAUCAUUUUCUUCAUACUGAACUCAUUCGAGUCUCCCUCCCUUGUUCUCACUCCCUCUCCCUCUCUCUUCAUGAAGCCAAACAUACCAGGAAUAAAAAAACACACAAAAUCAACUAAUCCAAAGUUCCUCAAAGCAGACGAGAGCAAAGUAGACAAAAAUCUUUCAAAGCAGACAAGAGCAAAGCAGACAGCAAUCUCCCAAGCGAACAAGAACACGAGGCAUGGAGGUUGCUCCCUAGAAGCCCUAAAGCUCUGUGCACUCAUGCUAGUGCUCCCUCUAGCGCUAGCGCUUAACUCAAAAUGCUACUCAUCUGUCAAAGCAAAACUAGGCCGAGCAAUGGCUCUUAACUCAAAAUGCUCUUAAGUUGGGAUGCUCUUAAGUUGAGGUCCCACUGUAUGUGUAUCAUGUCUUUAUGAUGGACCCACACCUAAAACUCUGGGAUUUUGGGGAGAGGGGUGUAGAAGACUUCAACUCCCAGGAUUCUUGAACAUUGGCCAUACUGUCUGAACUUUCUGGGAGUUGAAGUCCAAAAGAUGUGGAGAACCACAACUGGAGAGUCCUAAACAACUCCCCCUUUUGCAUUUUCACUAUGCCCGAAAGUGUACCUGUCCCCAAAACUGGUUCAGCCCCUUUGAAGUUCAGACUAAACUCCAAAGCACUAUUGUGUGAAUGUAAAUAGAAAUCCACUGGGGUGGUGGUAGAAUGGAGAGCCCACAUUCUGAGAAACGGUGGUGUGUGUUUGAGUGUGUGUAAGUGAGAGAUGCAAAAUAGGCCCAGUAGUUCUGAUGUGUAGAACGAACAUGGUGUAGUGGUUUGAGUGUUGAAGUAGAACUGCUGGAGACUAGGGUUUGAUCCUCCCUCAGCCAUGGAAACCACUGGGUGUCUUUGGGAAAGUUACAUCCUCCCAGUCUCAGAGGAAGGCAGUGGUAACCUCCUUCUGAAGAAAUCUUGUGGACAAAAUGCCAUGAUGAGUCUUCUGUGUGGUUGUCAUAAAUUCUAAACAACUUGAAGACACUUAACAAGUGAAAUCCUGACGUGUUAAGCUUCUAGCCCAUUUAUGCAUGUGAUAAAAUACUCGAACAGAGUUUUCAUUCCAGGUUUUUUGUUGGUUCAAAGGCAAUGCAUCCCUUAUUUAGAAUUCUAAAAUCUGAAAUUUUCCAUAUGGGUGCCUGAGAUAACAAAACAUUUGCUUUCUGAUAAUUCAAUGUAGACGAAUUUUGUUUCAUACACAAAAUUAUUUAAAAUAUUGUAUAAACUUAUCUCCAGGCUAUGGGUAUAAAAUGUAUAAGAAAGAGAAAUGAAUUUAAUGUUUAGACUUGCAUCCUAUUUCUAACAUAAUCUCAUUAUGUAUGUAUACACACACAUAGGUACUGCAGAAUCCGAAAGUAAAUCUGAAAUCCAGAACAUUUUUGGUCCCAAGUAUGUUGGAUAAGGAAUACUAAACCUGUAAUUAUAGAAUUUCAUAAAUUACAAAUGUAUUUGCUGAUCAGAGAAAAGUUUAGAAUUAUUUUCUUUUCAUAUCUCUACCUAGCUAGAUAUUAUUUUAAAACUUUAAAAUGUUACAUUUAAACAUUUCCCCCAGAUGAUCAUAAUUAUGACUGUACAAGAAUCCAUCUAGUAUUUAUUAAGAAGACUGAAAAAUCUCACAUGCUUUAUUUAUCAAACUCAGAUAAUCCAUUGGUAAUCUUCUGGCAUGCUCAUGCAGUGGCUUGUAACCAUGCACUCGAACAGGCAAGUUCAUGCUGUUUCUUAGUAAGUUGCUUUGGAUGUGUUGUUUCCUUCUUUCUUCUUCCUCCCUCUCCAUCUCACAUAGGAAUAAUGAACCUGACCCAGCUCCAAAGAGAGUUACAAGGCUUAAUUCAUUAAAGCUUACAAUGUUCUUUCAAGCAUUUGAAUCAGAGACAUUGGAGAAGAUGAAUGUAUCACCGUAAGCGCUUUCUCUAUAGAGAUGUAUAAAGUAACCCUACUUUGAGCAGUGUGUGUGUGUGUUAAAAACACAGCAUUGCUAGGGGCUGUUGGCUAGCAAUGUCCCAGGCCUGGUGGAAACGGUCAGGCUCAGCAUGGUGGGAAUACUUUUUUUGGCUGUCUCCACCUUGCAACUAGGAACAACAACAAAAGAUCUGUAGCAAUGAACAGAACAACUAACAAAUGAAAUACAGAUUCUGGAGUCCAUAGAGGUCUUAGAUGCUGACAGUAGAUCUGCUCACAUUUAUUAGUAAUUCCAAACUGGUUCAUGGCUCCUGAGACCAGCAGGGAUUAAGCCAGUCCAUCCCAACCCAUGCUCACAAUAUACCAAGCUUAACUGACACUCGAUAAUUGUGGCUUCCACAUCAGGAGGCCUAUGAAUCCACUCUAGGGUUCAGACUAAAAUUUAAAGGAGAUAUCAAUUGCACUGAACCUUAUUCUCAACAUAGGUCCAGCAUCUUGGAGAUCUCCAUUAAAGGUAAGACUGAAACCCAGAACAGAUUUGCUGUUCUGCUGACAAAGAAGUUGUUUUGCCAGGUGUGCCUUAUUAUAAGGGAUGUUUCCUAUUUGAAAUACCCAAUGGAAUCUGGGAUUUGAGGAAGGAGGGAAUCUUGUUCUUUAUACAAUUUUAACCAAAAAACAAAACAAAACUGAACGAGAGAGGAAUGAAUGUAAUUAGAGGAGGUGAAUAUAAAAACUUCAAAAGGUAGGAAUGAAAGAAACUGGCAAUUAUGGAGAGAUUUCAAGUAAAUGUGUAAGGAUAAGGGGGAAGAGGAGGAAAAAAGAUUUUGUGCCACCACUUUGUAGGCCUUAGCCAUUUUCAGCUCCCUCAAAGUCUUCAAACAUCCAGGGAAGGAUGUUUGAAGACUUUGACCUUUAAUUCACUCAAGAAGAAUAUGAACAUAUAUUAAGUGCAUCUGAUCUGCAACAUCAAAAGCUGAUUCAUUAUAGUAUAUUCGGCCACAAAUUUUCAUGGUAGAAUGUCUUUCAGAGAUGUUUUGUAUCAGAGUCAAUAGAAAGCAGUUUUGAGCCUCUAAUACGUUUUGUGUAAGAUAUAUUUGAAUUCAGAAGAGGAGCUGAAUGUACAUUAGGGAGAAUGGGGUGUUUAUAUUCCUAUUAGCCUCAGCAAAGUUAUGUUAAGCCUUGUGUGAAUUUGCUGUUCUUACUUUGUAAGGGCCAGAUAAUGUUCUGAUAUGGAAGUCACUGGAAAUACCUCUGUGUGGCACAGGGUUCCAGUGUGGACUGGAAACUUUAAUAUGUAAGAAGAUUAAUUGUCCAUGCACUCAAACAAGUCGCCAUUGGGUUUGUCAGUUCAGGGUUGUCUGGGUCAAAAUCUGAGACCCUAGGUUUCUGGGUGAAAAUCUGAGACCUCUGGUGAUGCCAUUAAAUGUUAUACAUUAUUUAUUUAUUUAUUUAUUUAUUUAAUGUAUUUAAUGUAUUUAUAUCCCACCCUUCUCACUCCAGAGGGGACUCAGGCUGGCUCAUAGCAUAAGCAGCUACCACAGUUGCUCAUAACAUGCAGGAAACUAAACUAAAAUAUCUGUUCUCAGUUGAAAAUGAAAUACAGGGAUUAUUCCUUUUCACUUAUUUAGGGGAAUGUGAUAAAGAACAUUCAAAGCCUUCUUGCUUAUAGCCAAAGAGUGUCAGCCCUGACACUUCAACUGACUGGGAAAGAGGAAGUAAAUAAUAUAACCAGCACCCCACACAAUUCUUUGCAAGUCACAGCAAGAAAUGAAUUAUGCUUUGCAAAUUGUAUUAAGCUGUUCUGCUAUUAGCUGAGCUGGAGAUUUGCACAAAGCCUUUUCCUCUUGCCUAAAGCCAAGCCCUUCAAAAAUGCACAAUUUGCACCCUUGUUUCCUACCUGGAAAUAACCCAUAAAAUCAAGAGGCUCAGGGCUAGGCCCUCACAUCUGGAAACCCUAUCACCAAGUGGUCGCUGGUGACUUCCAAGUCAGAGGCACAGUUAAUGUACUCUGGGCUUCAUUCCCAAGUCAUAUGGACCUAUUCAGGAUGAUGGAACUAUUUGAGGGACUAGAGUUAAUCGCCUUGGAUUGCUCCUUUAAAUUUCAGACUACAAACUGAAGUGGAUUCACAAUCUCACCAACAUGAAACUCUAGCUGGUUCUAAAUACGGCAUCUAGACUGGUUACACCCAGGAGUGAGCUGAGCAUAUUACACCCAUACUAACAUCACUCCACUGGCUGCCAAUUAGUUUCUGGGCAAAGUACAAAAUGUUGGGUUUGACCUUUAAAGCCCUACAUGGUUUGGGUCCAGGUUACCUACAGGUUUGCCUUCUCCCGUACAAUCUGCCCUGAACACUGAGGUCCUCUGGGGUGUGUGUGUGUGUGUGUGUGUGUGUGUGUGUCUGCUCCAGCCUGCCAGAACCUGACUGGUGACUGUCACCUAGAGGACUUUUUCAUUGGCCCCUCCAAGACUGUGAAACAACCUGCCAGAAGAGCUCCAUAAGCUAAAUGAGCUGUCAGCAUUUAAAAAUCAUCUAAAGACCUACCUCUUUUGGCAGGCCUACCAAUCCAGUUUAAAUCGUGAAUUUUAAACUUGUGUCCUGUGUUUAAAUCUUUGUUCUGUAUAUUUUAAUAUGUAUUUUAUAGAAAGAUGUUUCUCUAUGUAUCUUUUAUAGAAAUACAUUGAAUAUGUGCAUUUAUAAAAAUUUUGCAAAUUUUAUGUUUUUUAACUAUGCUGUAACCUGCCUUGAGCCACAAGGAAAGGCAGGUAAGAAAUAAAAUUAUUCUUAUUAUUACCAGCCACCCUGGAGAAUAUUCAAGACACACCAGAAUAACCAGCCCUAUUAUCAUGAGCAAAGCAGUAGAUGCUGGGAAGGGUGAAGUUGAAAGAGAGAUCUGUCAAUUCCGUUGCAUCUGUGUUGUGAAUACUGUUUUCUUUCCAGUGUUGAAGAUUCUGCUUGACUUCUGCUGAGUGACAGGUGUGGAAAGGAUGCCAUCUUGUACUGCAUUCCAUGGCAUUCCAUUGUUACACCCUGUCUUUCCCUAAAAGCUGAGAUUAAAAGAGUCAUGAAGAAUUUAAUAAAGGAUAAAAUCAUGCAAAAAAUUUGCAUAAAAUGCCAUAAAGUGGUCCAUUGAAUUCAAACUAUGCAAAACAUAUCCAUUUAAAAGGAAAAUAUAAAACUAGCAUGACACACUUUAAAGAGUUUUUUUCUUGUGAAACAAAUGUCUGUCGGUAUAAAGAGAUCUUCACCUGAGAGAGAAAGGACAACAAGGAAGGGAAUGGUCUAGUCCCUCUAGGAAGGAAGUUCCAGAGCCUGAAAGCAGGAACCGAGAAGAAGCAUUUUAUUCUUUGGGGUGCUGUGAGUUUUCUAGGCUGAAUGGCCAUGUUCCAGAAGCAUUCUCUUCUGACGUUUCACCCACAUCUAUGGCAGGCAUCCUCAGAGGUUGGAAACUAGGCAAAUGGGGUUUAUAUAUCUGUGGAAUAUUCAGGGUGGGAGAAAGAACCUCUGAGGAUGCCUGCCAUAGAUGUGGGCAAAAUGUCAGGAGAGAAUGCUUCUGGAACAUGGCCAUACAGCCCGGAAAACUCACAGCAACCCAAUGAUUCUGGCCAUGAAAGCCUUCAAGAACACAUUUUAUUCUUUCCUUGGGUAGCUAAAUGUGCCGGGUCAGCCCUGAGCCCAGCCACCAACCUAAAGUCAUAGUGCUGCUAUAAAUAUUUCCCAUGAGAUAUAGGUAAUGCAAGUAAGUGAGUGAUAACCAAUCUGUCCGUUCUUUACAGGUUUAUUCAUGUGUAAAGCUUCUGUAUGGAGUCAUCGCUAUAUGGAAGUCCUUUCACUAUUUAGUCUUUUGCAUUGCGGUGGUAAUGUGAGAAUCAGCUCCAAGCCAGCUCAACUGUCUUUUUCGAUUUGUAGUCAGAUUCAGUUUGAUCUUGGCUCUGUAAAGCUGAAAGGAAUAAGCGCUCACCUUGUGUCCCCCACCUCUCCCCCUGAGCCCCAGGGAAAGAAAGAUUGAAAGGGACCUGGCAUUUCUCUCAAGCUCCCAUCAGCCACAAAAUGAUUUCCUAUUAUAUUGAGCAGAGCGAGUCAGCUUUCACAGAGAGCCAGCAACUCUGGGCUUGACCCAGUCCCAAGGUUUAUCUUUCUAAAGAAAAGAUAAGGUUCAGGAUAUUACACUGGGAAUAUUGUAUUCCUGUUUGGUUGUACAUUCCCCUCAAGAACUAAUAUCUUUUCACUACCUGUCUUCCAGUUUUUUUUAAAAAAAGAAACAUAUGUCAAACAGCCCUCACAGGAAGAACUUCCUCACUGUGAGGGCUGUUCGACAGUGGAACUCUCUCCCCGGGGCCGUGGUGGAGGCUCCUUCCUUGGAGGCUUUUAAGCAGAGGCUGGAUGGCCAUCUGUCGGGGGUGCUUUGAAUGCGAUUUCCUGCUUCUUAGCAGGGGGUUGGACUAGAUGGCCCAUGUGGUCUCUUCCAACUCUACUAUUCUAUGAUUCUAUGAUUCUAUAUACAUUUAGCUUAGGAACAAAAAAGCAUGCACUAGGUGAGAGUAACAUGAGGGCAAUGAGAAGUGCAUUGAAGUGUGGACUGCAAACUGACAAAUAGAAAAGCCUUUCAAAAAUACAUGUCCAGACCAUCUGUACAUACAAAGGCUAGGAAGCGGGAGGGCAUGGGAAAGACAAUAGCAAGACCAUGAUCAAAAAACUGUGAUGAAACAAAAAAUUCUGAAUCCAAAGCAAGGGACUGCAGGUGUUGCAUUUUGCAUUCAGAUAACAAACCAAUGCCUGUUGUGACUGCCAACCUCUUUGUCCUCCUGGUUCACACCUCAAAUAUUAUCUACAGGAUGAAAUCACCAAUGGUUGAUGCGGGAAAAUAGAACUAUCAGAGAGUUCGAGAGGUUGCCAAUGAGAUGGAAAAAAGAAAAUUCAGGCUGGGAUCUGGUAUAGAUGUACAUUAAAGAGAGGUGAGAAAAUAAGCUGGAGAACCCUAAACAAGAUAAUCCACCUUCUGUAGGUAGGUAGGAAGGAACUACUCUGUCCUGAACUGGUAGAAAUAAAGCAUGCCACUUCAAAUAAGAAGUGGAGUACUAGGGUUGCCAAGUGAAAUACGAGAUAGGGUUCCUAUCCAUUUAAUGUUUUUGUAGAAGAGGGAAUGUCAUUGGUUGUUGCUGCUGAUGUUCCUUUUUUAGAGGUAACUUCACCUGGUAAUCCAAAGUACCAUAUUUAUGAAUUCUUUCCCCAGGUAAAAAGGAUAUUUACAAAUGCCAGUAAACAGAUUAUUCACACUCAUGGCCUGUCUGCCUGCUUGCUUGCCCUCCUUCCCUCUAACUUCUAGAUACAUAUUUUGGGGAAAAAUGCUAUUCCACCUUUCCUAUAACCUGAAAUGAUAUAGUUAAAAAUUCACUUCAGAAGUCUUUACAUAUGUAGGUCAGUUGGCAGGACAUCCAGGACUAUGAGUUUGCAACUUUGAGCUUAUCCUAAAUUAAAUCAUUUUUUUCCUGUUAGUGGUGCAGACAGACCAAACAAUGUCAUAUUUGCCCUCUUUCAAAAACAGCCAUCACGCUUCCGUCUUGUAAUUGUCUGUUUGCACUAAAUCGUAUACAAAAAGUUUUGUUGACAUCCUGACUGUUUGGUAACCCCUGCUGAGAGACUGUGGAGAGAAAGGAUGCACUCUCCUCCCCUCCAAAUUUUCCUUCCUGAUCCAUCAUCAUUAGCAAAGAUAAGCGUCGCAGGCUAAGUCAUUAGGCGGCUGUUCCUAGAUAAAUAAUUCUUUUCAUAUUUAAUUUACAAGUGAUUAUGUACCCUCUUUGGGGUGUGCUGGGUUAAUUAAGAGCUGAAUUAGAUGGAGAUGCAUCUCCCCAAGGAGAUGCAAUUAAAACAUUCUGACAUAAAAAUAUAAAACCCAAAAAACUAUAAUGAUACAGAAUAUUUGCUGCAUUAUCAGCUGAUGAGUGAUGACCAUGUCAGAUUAGCACUAGGCCAAAGCACUGCCAUGUGUCCUUGUCAAGAUCUGCAUCCUAUGGUGCCAGGCACUGUUCAAAGACACCAUUAAAAAGAUGCUGCUGGCCUUAACUGUCUAACUCAGUUUCUGGUUUGCAGGGGAUUAUCACUGGAUUUGGCAGCUUAAAUAAAAUUAAACAGUUAAAGGAUAAGGAAGCACAAGGCCUCUGGGGCUUUUUCUAACUCCGCCAUCAUAAAUAUCCCAAACAUUCAGGAUUUAUUCGUCACAAAGCCACUGAUCCAUCUAUCCCAGUAUGAUCUACUCUGACUGUCAGUAGUUCCCAAAGGACUUGGAGUCUAAUUUCAAUGUCAGAAUGAAAAAACAAACAAACAAACAAAAUAAACCUUUUCCUUCUCUCUUCCCUUCUGCGCCUUUUGGUGCUACUCAGAAACCAGCCUUCUAAAGCAGAAUUAUGGGGUAUAUAGGGAAGCAGCAAUGAGGAAAGCUUACUACUUUUCCUCUGUAAGAGAAGACCACCAAAAAACAAUCUUUCAUACCAUUAUUUAAGCCUAGGACCUACGAUUAAUCAAUGUAGUGGACUAUAAUGGUAAAAUUUGUGAUGCUGGUUCCCAUCAUAAUAUUUCCUAUAUUCAUAUAGAAUAAGAAUCCAGAAAUACGGGCAGCUGCGUUUGUGAGCCCAAAGCAGAGCUGUCAAUGACUCUCUCUUAGAAGUCCCUCAUUCAUAGGAACACCAUACGUUGAAGCAGACUUGAUGGAAAUUAAUAGCUACAGUGGAAAAAUGUAUCAACUUCACAGACCCUUAAAUACAUAUUAAUCCUUGCAUUGCAAUAUCACCCUCUUUUGCUGCAGCCCAUCUCCUUCCCUCUAAGGAUUUCUGUAAAACAGACUUCGCCUAGACUUUCUUUAAAAGCUAGACCUCUUUGCUAAUACUUUUUGCAUCAUUGACCCAGCAAACUGGAACUUGGCACUGGGAUAAAAUGGAUCAUGCCUAACUUGGUUGGUAACUCUGUUGUCAGUGUCAAUCUUAUCUGUUGAGACUACACUGAUUGACUAAAUACAUUCAAAGGCAGGGGCUGUCUGACUUUUCAGAAAUCAAUAGAAUGAACAAUAACUCAGUAGUGAAGUUGCAUUUGAGGUUGUCAUGUCAUCUGGAUGGCCUGUUUCUAGGCAUGCCAUCUUGUACCAUUGCAAAUAUCAGCUGGCCUGAAUUUGAAGUUUUUUGUUGCUGUGGUUAAAGCAUGUCUCAAUCUAACUUUUGUAGGAACAAAUUGUGGAGCAAAAUAUGCAGUUGUCCCAUUGCUGACACAGUGGGAAAGAUAGGAUAAAUCUUUGAAAAUCUGGAACAUUGCAUGUAGACCAUGGGAAAGUUAUUUUUUGUACCUCCACUACUAGAAUCCUUGAGCCAUUAUAGUUUUUUUUCCAGUUUUGGGAUUUUAAAAUAUAGUGUCAUUACAGUAAAUAAAUAAUUAAAAACACAAAACAAAAUACUGUACAUUAUUAAUAUAAUAUUGGACCUGGGGAGAAGUAUCCAGAAUAUAUCCAGAAUAACACAAAGAUCUGAAGAUUUGCUUAACUACUAGGAUAUGAGAACUUUAGUAUAAGAAGAGAUGCAUGACACUCCUCUGCCUAGUGGCAUAUUGUCAUUUUGAGAACCUUGUGGUCAUUUUAUCAAGAGAGCUCAUCUGAACUCAUGAGAUGUCAUCCUUCAUAGAUUCCUGUGGGCUUAUUGAUCUACAAUUCCCCUUUAUUUUGCGGGCUGAUAUUAAACCAACAACCAAAACUUGAAUUCAUCUACUGUACCUUAAUAUGAUCAACAGAACUGGCAUUUUAGACCCAUAGGAUGCAUACACAGCUUUCUGCUUCAAUAGAAAUAAAACAAAGCUUCCCACCUUCCUUUCUCCUGAGAAGGAAGCAGAGUAAUAAUCUGCCUAAGCUCUGUUGUUGAAAGAAGGCAAAGACAAGAAUUUGAACUAAACAAUGAUACCAGAUUCAAUAGCACAAAACCAGGAGUUGUGGAACAAGACGACUCCUAGAAUCACACCACAGACCUCAACCCUUGGAGGAUUUUGUUGGCCAGCUCCUGUGGGUUGAGGUCAGAUUCCAUCCUGAGUAGGCAUACACCUGUUGGCAGGUUUUGAAUGCUUAGGCUGUAGCCAAGGGAUGUGAUUAAUCCAGCCUUACUGGAUGAAGAGCCAAGGUCUCUGCUUGGGCAGCAGCACUUGUUUUUGAAAAUAGUAUUUUUAAUUAAAAACAGGUAAAGGCAUCCUUAUGUGAGAGGGACCUAUUGCCUGUAUUUUUUUGGUGCUGCCUUACAAAGGGACGGAACCAGUGGAACAUUUAAUCUUUCUGUACUGUGUUUGUGCAGACACACAAGCUUUUGCAAGGCUUUUUGGGUGCAAGUGUUUCAAAAGAGCAUAUGGUGUCAGUAGCACAAGAAGAAUCUGCACAGUCAUUGCUUCACUGUGAACCCCUUAUGAGAGGCAGUGGCUUGCAAGAGGGGCAAGAUACAAUUGUUUGCCCAGGCCCAGUCUGAGAACUCCUGGUCCCAGGCCAUGCUUAAAUAUCAAAGGAACACAUAUCCUUUUCCUUUGCUGUUGUUAACCCCAGUAAGGAGUGGGGAAAGGCAAAGAUACAGCUGCUUAGCAAAUCUCCCUUUCCUUCAAGAACCCUUGAUUGGGACCUUGCUCUAAUAUAUAGCACUCCAAUACUGGCCAUACUGCUUGGGAGAUUCUGGACAAUGUAGUCCCAAAAGUAGUGUUUCCAAUCUGAAUCUUUAUAUAGGAUCCUGGGUCAGUAUUAUUGUCCAAAAAGCAACUUUUACCAGAUCUAUUAGUUAUACUGCUCCGAUACCACUUUAACUAACAUAGUUACUGAAAGGGAAAACAAAACUGGCAUUGUGAAGGUAGCAUAGCAUAUUUUGUUACACAACAUGCUACAGUAGAGGGGAAAUGGCAAACUCCUCCCCUUGAAAGAAAGAAAUACACGAGUGUCACUAUUAGACCUAUAAAUCCCAGGAUUUCAUAGAAUUCCAAAAUCACAAAGUUGGAGGAGAUUGCGAGGGCCAUCCAGUCCAACCCACUGCCAUGCAGGAACACAUGAUCAAAGAACUCCUGACACAGAUGCAGGUGAAACGUUUUGAAAGAAUGCUUGUGGAACAUGGCCAUACAGCCCGGAAAACUCACAGCAACCCAACUCCUGACAAAUGGGCAUCUGGCCUUUGCUUUAAAACCUUCAAAGAAUGAGCAUCCACUAUGCUCUGAGUCUAAACAGCUCUUACUGACAGGAAGUUCUUCCUAAUGUUUAGGUGGAAUGUAUUUUUCACCCUUUGAAUCCAUGUCAUAGAAUCAUAGAGUUGGAAGAGACCACAAGGGCUAGUCCUUGGACCUCAUCUCAUGAUCGAGGUCCAGUGCUGUGAUUCACCAUCCUCAUCGGCAAAUCAUAGGAGCAGUGGAGCAGCAGUGGGGCAAUCCUGGCACCCCGGCUGCCAGCUGGCACUUUCUCAUACCAUGUGGGGGUAGCGUUGCCAAUGUGCCAACCCCCCUUUGUUCCUUAUAAAUCACCGGGCAGCCUUUGUGUUGGCAGCAGUGGUGCCCCACCACACUGCCAUGCCAAUUCACCCAUGGAGCCCCAUCAAAAGUUGCUGUACAUCAUUUGAUGGGUGGCGUGGGGCUCUAUGGGUGAAUUGGGGAAAAAGCGUACUAGGACACUUCAAUUACUCUAUGUGAUAAGGCAGCUUGUCUCCAGAACAGCAAAAGGCAAGCUUGCUCCCUUCUAAAUGUUUAGACAUGGCUAUCAUGUCUCCGUUCAACCUUCUCUUCUCCAAGCUAAACAUAUCCAGGCAUAUCCCUGCAACACCCUGAAGUGACAGACCUAAAUUUGAUAGUGGCAGGGAGUAUGGCAGUUGUGACUUGGAAAAGCCUACAGACCAUAUGGAAGGCCUUUGAGCUGUUAAUACAUAGCAGAAGAGAAAACAGUGUCACAAAGUACUGGAGUGUCUUUAAGGCAAUUGCAUAUAACUAGGUUAGGCUGAAUCUAUUUACCUGAUUUUGCAUGUAUUUCUGUGUUCAACAUAUUCCUCCCACAUAGGGCAAUUUUUAAAAAUGUAGCAAUCAUAUUCACGUUGCUUCUCUGGUAUUCCUGCCCAGCUCAUUUCUUCAGAAUUUUUUUUUCAUUUUAUUAGUUCUUUUGUCUUCCUCAUUUGUGUUAGGUAGUUUCCUCACUACUAUCUAAUACAAUUUACUAUGGAAAACCAUAUGAUGAGAUGCAGGUCCUCACUCUCUGUAUACAGUAUGACCCUCAUAUUUGCAGAGGAUAUAUUCCAAGUGCCCGCCAUGGAUAACUGAAACCAUGGACAAUACCAAACCCUUUAUUUUGAUUGCGCCUGGGUCAGAAGCAUACCAUAAAAUUGCACCGGAUGACCAAGGGAGGCCAAUACACUUCUAAAUGCAAUGUUUUUUGGGAUCAUGGAUAAAUGUGGAUAUCAAAUCUGUGGAUAAAGGAGGGUCAUACUAUAGUUGUACAUGUGUGUGUGUGUGUCCUAUUUCAUUUUGAUAUAAGGAUUUCAAAAUGACAUGGGUCUGAAUACUAUGGGGGUCACUAUAGCCAACUAGAAUAAAUUAUAAUAUGACGAAUGAAAUCAAAGGAUGGUAAGGACAAAAAAGGGCUGAGGGACCCUUAUUAUAGGCAUGUAGGAGCAGGGGUUCCCAAGCUGCAUAGGGCUCCAACACUUUGAGUUGUGUCCAUAAAUGGAUCAUGAACCAGUAAGGUUGUUUAAGGAUCGGAAAGAUGUGUUCCAUCAACUGGUUUCAAUUAGCAGCCUGGCACCUAAAAGUUGAUUCCUGAUUCCUUCUGCUUUGAUCACCUGUUGGCUGGAAAAACAGAUACAAUGCCUUCUGCAGUGCACUGUGCCUUGCAUUCUAUAGGUCUGACACAACUGCAAAGACUCUGGACUAUGUGCUUUCCUUUGUGUAACUUAACCCUAUCAUUCCAUCAGGCCUCCCUGCCUCCCACAUUGUGCACUUGCUUCCGGGCUGUCAAUCUGAACUGUGGGCAUUUCUGUUUGUGACCCUUUUCCAUCUCCAGCAAGUGCUGGGAUGUUAAUGAUGUGGCCUUUUGAUAUGCAAACUGAGUGCUCAUUACAUCGUUCCCUUGCCCGACAUCCUCUGAGCUGUUAAUUAAGGAAUGUGCGGCAGGCGUAAAAUGGGGUGCCUACAAAAUAAACCAGCAGCAUCUGGAUGCCAGACCUCCUCUGUGCAAAGAAAGGUGCUAUCUGUAUUUGUUGGGCUUUGGCCAGCUAUCAAAUCAAAACCCAGCAUGCUGAAACAGUGGGCAUGUUACCUUCAUCCCUAUGUGGAUCAUACAUUGGAAAGAAUGGCAGUAUUGAACAGUAUUGCAUAGCAUAUAUUAACAUAACCGGUCUCUAGGACAGACGUUAAUUGCUUAUAUAAUGCAUGGUAUUUUUCAGAGCAACAUAAUCUUUUUUUUAAAAUGUGAGAGAUCAUGAUUCCUGCCCCAAGAAACAUUCAUUCUAUCUUUUCAAGUGGAAAGGUAACAGAGCAUUUAAUGGGGAUGAAGACUUAAAGCUCAAACUAUAUGUUAUGCUCAUAGGGUGACUCAGUAUACCCAACUGAUACCCCAGAAUAGGACUCAAGGUGACUUACAAAUGAAAAAGAAAUACGAGGGCUAUCCAGAAAGUAGAUUACGUUUUGGAAUUAAAAAUGAACAAAGUAUAGGAGAAAACAUUUACCAUAUGCAGUUGAAAGCCAGACCCAAAUACCACUUCUCAACAUAGUCCCCAUUGAAAUCUAGGCACUUAUCAUAGCAGUAAAUGACCUUGGAAACCCUUUCCCCACCAAAUUUUGCCGCUUGGCUUGCGUCCUCAACCAGGCGGGCAUCCCUUCCCACAGCAACGCAUGUGCAUGCGUUCAGCUUUCCCCCAUACUCCUUUUGCAAGAAGCAUACCUUUCCUGUCCCAAAAAAUGGUUGCCAUAACCUUCCUUGCAAGCAUUUGCAAAACCUUAGAAGAGCGAUCUAGGACGAGCGUGGGGGAAAGCUGAGAGCAUGCACAUGCGCAGCUGCGGGAAGGGACGCCCACCUGGUUGAGGACGCAAGCCAUUGUUGGCUCAUGUUUAACUUGUUGUUCACGAGGACUCCAAGAUCUUUUUCACAUGUACCGCUGUCGAGCCAGGCGUCCCCCAUUCUGUAUCUUUGCAUUCCAUUUUUUCUGCCUAAGUGGAGUAUCUUGCAUUUGUCCCUGUUGAACUUCAUUUUGUUAGUUUCGGCCCAUUUCUCUAAUCUGUCAAGAUCGUUUUGAAUACUGCUCCUGUCUUCUGGAGUAUUAGCUAUCCCUCCCAAUUUGGUGUCAUCUGCAAACGUGAUGAUCGUGCCUUCUAACCCUUCGUCUAAGUCAUUAAUAAAGAUGUUGAACAGAACUGGGCCCAGGACAGAACCCUGCAGCAUUCCACUUGUCACUUCUUUCCAACAUGAAGAAGACGUCUUGGUGAGCACCCUUUGGGUUCGUUCGCCUAGCCAAUUACAGAUCCACCUAACUAAAGUUUUGUCUAGCCCACACUUUACUGGUUUGUUUGCCAGAAGGUUAUGGGGGACUUUGUCGAAGGCCUUACUAUAUCCAUGGCAUUCCCUGUAUUGACCCAGCUUGUAACUCUAUCGAAAAAAGAGAUCGAAUUAGUCUGGCAUGACUUUUUUUGGUAAAUCCGUGUUGACUAUUAGUGAUGACCAGCCACAUUUGUUGUCAAUAUCCUUCAUGCAUCCCUAUAUAAACAGAUGUCAAAUUUUAUACAUGUAUGUCGCAUGCACACCAUGUGCAUAGAGACAGAUAAGUAAGGUAUGAAAUGGCAAAGAGAAUUGCUGUCGUCUCAUAUGGGCAACAUGAUGAAAUUCAUGCGGUCACCUUAAGAUAACAGGCGACCUGAAGGCAUGCGUGUGCUCUCUCUCUCUCUUUCUCUCUCUCUCUCUCUCUCUCUCUCACACACACACACACACACACACACACACACGGAAGACAGUGGUAAAGGAAAAUUCUCUCAAGGCUGACCUCUGUGACCUCUCCUGGUAGUAGAACAAACCCAGUCAGUUCUCAUGCUUUUGCUGGGUAUGCAGCAGAGGCUGAGGUGCCCUUGACACUGAGCCCAAGAGAGUUGCUGCUACAGAGCUUGCCUUCAGCCUCAGGCAAGGUUAAUGGGCUGACAUGCAGGACAAAAGCAACAUCUUAGCCUUGACAGGGUUCUCCUUUGGGGGCUGAAGAGAAGAAACUGAUGAGGAAAAGUAGGGUCAGGGAGAGGAUUUCUACCUCCAAAAGUUUGGAUUCAAAUUCUCAUCCUAUUUUCUGCCACCUAAUUUUCUGGAUCUUUCCACAGCAUCGGUCCCAAUCAUUUUAUCCUUUGUUUUUGAUAAUAAUAAAAACUGUAAGAGUAGUAGCAAUAGAAAUAGGUUUUAAUUGUAGGAAAUAAGACUGAGACAAUAAUAUAAACAUUAAUCUCCACCAAUUCACGCCCUGAACACCUUUGGUUGGCUAUUAAUCUCUACCUUCCAGCUGUUGUCGACCGCGUUUGGGGGAUCGGGCCCCUUUAGAAGGAAGCCGAUCCGGUCCUGAGGGAACGGACCUUGGCGAAGCCAAAAGAAGAAUAUAAGCCGCAAUACAACCUGAAGCCUGAAAUGAAGAAGGUCCGCCAAGUUGAAGGAAAAUCCGCCAAGGAGGUUUUAUUGAGCAAUUCAGCUGAAAAGGACGCCAAUAGCGAUCAUUCAAUCUACUAGCGUACAUAUGUUUCAAAUAAAGCCAUAUUUAUACAAUGUUUCGGUCUGACAGCCCUUUGAAUUUCCCGCCCCGCUUCCCCGCCCAUCUGAUCGCGGAUAGGCUGAGAGGUUGAACGAGGCGGGCUUUCGUUUCCCGCCUUGCUCUGCUGGCCCAAUGGGGAGCCGCUUUUUGUCCCUAUUCGGGCCAAUCAGAGAGGAGGAGGCGGGAGCUAUUGAGACAAUGAGGUGACCGGACAGGAAAUAUCAGAUUAAUUCUGGCCCAGCCAAUUUCUAAAGGAAUUUAUGACACCCAUCAAGGAUGUCCGGGGUCCUGUCACGUUCACAGAUUUUAGAUAUGUCUUUGGGGUGUCAGACGGGAAGUGGUGAUGGGUGGUGAUGAGCCGUCAUUGACGGCCCCACAGGGUGCCUUCCUGCGGCGUCCUGGCCUGGGAUAUGAUAAUGUUUGCCUUGGGGGCGAGUCACCUUUAGGAAUUUGGUGGCUCGCCCUAUAUUGUCCAUGCGAUCGGAAUGAGAUUGGAUUAAACUGUGGCAGAUUAUCCUUUUGUUUUUGGGAAGGGAGGUCUGGGUCAUAGGGCUAGAGUUCAUGUUGGGGUCAUAAUAUUUCCCAUUUGAUUUCAUGAUCUGACAAUUAUAUGGGAUAAAAUGAAAAUUAAAAUAAAGUUGGAACAUAAACCCUGCUGGGAAGAAUACAUAUUUUCCGGGGAUCCCAAAGAGUAUAAAUACAUAUAGGCAGAUAGAUAGAUUUCAAGGAAAUAAAGGAGAAUCCAUAAAGGUGGGUGACAUUGCAUAAAGGGGAAUCAUGAAUGAUAUAAGCAAUAGAAAACAUUUGAUAAGGACGAAGUUCACAACAUC